rnacentral:rRNA from 1 species
UCGAACGAUAUAGUGGCAGACGGGUGAGUAACGCGUGGGAACGUACCUUUCACUACGGAAUAGCUCCGGGAAACUGGUGGUAAUACCGUAUACGCCCUUAGGGGGAAAGAUUUAUCGGUGAAAGAUCGGCCCGCGUUGGAUUAGCUAGUUGGUGAGGUAAUGGCUCACAAAGGCGACGAUCCAUAGCUGGUCUGAGAGGAUGAUCAGCCACACUGGGACUGAGACACGGCCCAG